UCUUCGCCGAGGUACUCAGGGUGCAUCCUCUGCUGCUGGAGGGGGGUUUUGUACUGGGGAAGCUUAUUUUAUUUUUCCGAAUGAAAAUAAGCUGCCCGGUAUGCCCAUGUACACGUCAGUAAAACACUUGCUUUGGUAGGGAAUUUAGUACUUAAAAGUAGGGGGUUUAUUUUAUUUAAGCGUGGAUGAGUCUCCAAUGACUCAAUAGUCACAACAAUGUCAAUAUUACAGCCAAAAGGUCUUAAUCAGAUAGAUGUUGAGGAAAAAAAUAACACUGAUAUUCCUGUGCUGGCACAUAUCUGCAGCUGGGAAAGAGCAGAGGAACUGCUCUGUGCAGCUGUUAGCAGAAAAUUUGGGAAGAACUGCUCUGGUGCAAUUUUUGCAUUCAAGUUGAGGAUUGAUUCAUCAGUGGUGAUGUUAACACUGUCAGAAUGGCUCGCUCACUCUCCACCAGGCUGGUGUGGCCUCAGAGGCUACCCCUGCUGACGGCAGAGUGUGUGCAGCUUCUGCUGAGCAGGCGGUGCCAUCCCCCCAGAACACCUUGUCACAGCAGGGACGGAGAUGGAGCCAGCCCAGCACAUGGAAAUGGAUCUCUCCAGCUGAGCACUCAGGUGAAGUGACCAGAGAGCGUGCUCAGCACGAACCAGGCGACCUUCACAUCUCCAGGGCUAAUGAUUCUUGCGCCUGCAGAGCCACAGUAUCACCCGGCUUUUUUUUCCUCCCCAGGCCUUUAUUCAUUUCUCAAACAGACGAAUGCUCCCCUUGAAGACUGCUGUGCGCUGUGUUCUAGAGAGCCUGGCAGGUGACCGCGUUGGAGAGAGGAGGGCAGCUGCCAGCAGGCAGCCCCCAGGAAAACAUGGGAGUUUCAGUGGUUUCUGGAGUCUGAGGACCGGGUAGAUGCCCUGAGCUAAGCAGGAGUUAAGCGCAGUCAUGCAGAGGCCUGGCUGUUACGACUGAAGGUCGCUUAGCACAACACGGGAUCAGCAGGGAGAGGCGGGUCUGUCCUGGAGGAUCCAGGAGCUCGGUGUGCGUAUCUGAGCCUGCAGCUCCGAGCCGCAGCAGGACCCAAGGUCUGCACACGCCUGUGUACAGGUACUCUCAGAAAUGUUGACUGUCCUGACUGAGCCCUCAGGAGCUGGCAGUGCCAGCCUGGAGAACAAGAGUAACUUCCAGCCUUUUCUUUUGUCUCCGUGUCCAGUGUUCAGUCUAAUUCCUGCUGGGCCUUUGCCUUUCCCCUUCAGGGAAUAAAGGGGGGAAAAAAGUGGGGGGAAAAGAAAAAAAGAUCAAACAGGGGUCUAAACCUCCGGAGGAAGAAGACAUCUGUCAGGACACACUCUUAAGAGAAAUGGGAUAAAGAAUACUUGUUUACUAAAUCUUUCAUAUCUGUAGCUAGUUCAAAGACAGUCAAAGCCAGUCCUUCCCGUUAGAAGGGCAAAAGAAGAACAGAGAAGCCCUCAGCCUAAGCCAUUGAAAGCAGCAGCAGCAGCUUUGUGUACUCUGGUGUGGCAGGCAUUCCUAGGUUGGCUUUUUUUCUUUUGCAUCUAGCACUGGUAGAGGAAAGUUCUUUGCAAGGUGAUCGUUCCAGCCUUGAAUUGAAAUGUGAGCAAAGAGGAGCUUUCUCAAUUGGAUUUGGGUUUAUUCACAGCACUUGUAAACAGAGUUAAUGUGAAGAUAACAUGGGCAGGGAGUGUGCCGUGGGUUACCACAAGCGAUAAAGGAUUUUGGGACGGUGACAAGGCAGUUUCUCCUUCAACGUAUUGUUUUUUUUUCUGGAAGAAUUAUGCGAGAACAGAAAAGUUGCAAUGGCAUUGCAGUUCCCUGCACAGAAAAUAGCCAGGGAGGUGAAGCAGGGCCAAGUGGUGCCGUUCGACUGCACCACGACUGGGAGCAUCAGCCAGGUCUUCUGAGCCACAGCACCUCCUGCUCUGCGGUGGCCACUGCUCACUGAUCCCAGUGAAAACAAACUUGUGUACAGGCACUCUGCAAAAUUCCCACCUUAGACGCCACUGAAGCGCAGCUUUGGCUUUCGGGCAUCUCCCCUGCAGGCCGUCCCUUGUGUCGUUUCCGCAGAGGAUUCCUUGUUAGUUAAUGACUUCAUUUUGUUUUUCAUUUCCAAAGAAUAUCAGUUGACUUUUACAGCUUCUUCAGUGCUCCCCAAGCUUCAUGCCACACCUAAAUGCUCAUCUUCACUGCCUGAAGGUCUUUUCUGACCUGAACGAUUCUAUGACUUUGGUCCGUACUUCAGCUUAAGGGAAAAGCUGCACGUUGAUUGGGUUUUGGAGAAAAAAAUUUGAGCGUCCAGCUGUGAAUUUAUCUUGUGUUUUGUCUUCCAGGUUCAUUCCUAUUGUAAUCUCAAAUGGCAAAACAGCGUUGCUCUUUAUUAAAACCAAAAGCGCUCUCAGAAUGUUGAUGGAGGUGAUGAUUGCAGGGGCGAUGCUUCUGAAGAAUAACUCCCCCAUCUUCCCCAGGGCCUGGGCAGAGAGAGGUGGAGCUCGGAGUCCCCCCCAGUCCUCCCGCGGGUGUCGGCGUCUGCAGCGCCAUCGGGACGGGAUCCACGGCGCAGCUCCCUCCUCCAGAGGCCGAAAGCUCAGCCUCCAGUUUCGUGCAGGGUGAUCACCUUUCCAAGGCAAUACAAGCACUUCCCAAGAGCAGCUGGUGAGGAUGGCGCAGAAGCAAUGACAAGAGUGCAGUGAAAAGUUUGGUGCAUUGAUCCAGCUUCCGGACAUGUGAUCUUCUACACUGCCCCAUGGCAAGCAGAGUUUGGUGAUUUUGCUGCUCUGCUCUCUCAAGAGUGUUGCAGGCUGCGUAGCAGGGAGUGAAGCCCUUGUCGCUGCUCAUCAGACACUUUCCUACAGAAUUCUCCCUGUAUUGAUAAAAUUAAACUUGUGUUAGUGAACUGCCAAGUAGAGCAGGUAACACUGGAAAAGAAUUGUUUCUGAGCUGCUGUUCACUAGCACGUGUUUCCCCUUUCCACCUACUGGCAUGGAGCAGAAAACACGGAGGGGCUGGCACUUGCAAUGAAAAUGGAAAAGAUACUAGGCCUGUAACUGGGGCUGUGGCCAUCCAGGUGAACUUAAGCAGGGGCUGGCAUCGUGGCUGGGGAUUGAGGAUCUGGACCUGAAAUCAUGGGGGGCUGGCAUAUUGAUGCUGGCGUGGGCUUUGAGACCCUUGGCUAGGAGCUGAAUUGUUGCAGAGCUGGAGCCAAGGCCAAGAUGCUGCCCU